rnacentral:misc_RNA from 1 species
UAGUAUUGCGUCCUCAGGAAAA